AUCGAUAGUGUUUAGCAGCGGUUCACACAGCACUGCUUUGGGAAGCGGCGUCCACCCCGCGCUGCCCGCGCCCGUGGUGGCGCGUCCCAUCACACAGGUCAUCGAAACCGGCGAAGAAGGAAGCCAGUUCCUCUACCGCAUCACGUGGGCGAGAACGGGACUCUCAAAGUCCAAUGGACCAACUCAGCCACUUUAUGAGUAGAGCCCCAUGUCAGCGUAUCCGUGAUAUGCGAGUGUGCACUUUAGAUCUACUGCACAAAGUUCAAUUUGGAUUGUAACGAACAGUGAGUGAUGACCUUUUAGACUGCAGUGCUUUAUAUUCUAGGGGAUUAAAAAGACUUUAGUGGUAAAGUGUUUUGGUGGUGAUAUGAAGUUGAUACGACUUCUGAACUAUAGUCCUGUUUUCAGUACAUAAAUUAUGAUGAUAGAGAACUCGAAAUAUAAAAUAGUUUUUACUGAAGCAUAUAUAACACUAUGAAUAAAUUUUGAGUUAGUUCAGACUAUAUGAAAAUGUGAACCCGUGCGGAAAAAUUGAAAUUUUGUGCUACUAACACAAUGUUACGUAUUCAUAACACAUAACACGUAAAAUAAUAGAGUUCACACUAAAUUAUAAGUUUCUGAACUAAUUAAUAUCAUUAUUUUAACUUAUUAUGGUAAACUUUGACUGAAUUUUAUGUUGAAAAUAUUUUUCAAGCUGAAUACAUUCCGCGAACAUUUAUUUCAUCGUAACUUUACAUGUUCAGAAAAUAACAUGUGGAUA